GGAUGGGGAAUAUCUCCAAAUCACGUUGCUUCAACAGGGAAAAAUCCCUAACCCUCCUUCUACCUCAUCUUCUCCCAUCUUCAUUGGCGACACCUUCUCUUCUCCACUGGCAGCAGCGGCGACGGCUACAGCGAGAGAUGGUAUACGGCGUCGGCACGUGGCUCUACUCUCCUUGGCCGAGAUGGAAGAACCGUGAGAGUCAUGUUGGCUCAUCCUUCUUCGUUCAUCACCAAACCAGGACGUUUCAAACCAGGACGUUUCUUUGAAAGCGGAUCAAUCUGGUGUUAAUCAGAUAUUGCACUUUGCUUUUUAACUGAUCACAAUCCUCUGUGAAGUGACCAAUUGCCCCAAUAUGAUAUUCACAAUUAGCAUUUGGGUUGAAUCCUUUUGGGUAUGGAGGUUCCACCAUCUUUGAGGGGAUAGGAGUCAACAAUGAUCUUUGAAGAAGUUGCGGC
rnacentral:lncRNA from 1 species